ACACUCCUACGGGAGGCAGCAGUGGGGAAUAUUGGACAAUGGGCGCAAGCCUGAUCCAGCCAUGCCGCGUGAGUGAUGAAGGCCCUAGGGUUGUAAAGCUCUUUCACCGGUGAAGAUAAUGACGGUAACCGGAGAAGAAGCCCCGGCUAACUUCGUGCCAGCAGCCGCGGUAAUACGAAGGGGGCUAGCGUUGUUCGGAUUUACUGGGCGUAAAGCGCACGUAGGCGGACUAUUAAGUCAGGGGUGAAAUCCCGGGGCUCAACCCCGGAACUGCCUUUGAUACUGGUAGUCUUGAGUUCGAGAGAGGUGAGUGGAAUUCCGAGUGUAGAGGUGAAAUUCGUAGAUAUUCGGAGGAACACCAGUGGCGAAGGCGGCUCACUGGCUCGAUACUGACGCUGAGGUGCGAAAGCGUGGGGAGCAAACAGGAUUAGAAGCCCCAGUAGUCCCAUGA
rnacentral:rRNA from 1 species